rnacentral:rRNA from 1 species
AACGAACGCUGGCGGCAUGCCUAACACAUGCAAGUCGAACGAGACCUUCGGGUCUAGUGGCGCACGGGUGCGUAACGCGUGGGAACCUGCCCUUAGGUUCGGAAUAACUCCCCGAAAGGGGUGCUAAUACCGGAUAAUGUCUUCGGACCAAAGAUUUAUCGCCUUUGGAUGGGCCCGCGUUGGAUUAGCUAGUUGGUAGGGUAAAAGCCUACCAAGGCGACGAUCCAUAGCUGGUCUGAGAGGAUGAUCAGCCACACUGGGACUGAGACACGGCCCAGACUCCUACGGGAGGCAGCAGUGGGGAAUAUUGGAGAAGGGGCGAGAGCCUGAUACAGCAAUGCCGCGUGAGUGAUGAAGGCCUUAGGGUUGUAAAGCUCUUUUACCCGGGAUGAUAAUGACAGUACCGGGAGAAUAAGCUCCGGCUAACUCCGUG